rnacentral:ncRNA from 1 species
GUAAGCCGUGUAAUGGGAAACCUUCCAGCAUGGUUCGGAGAGCACUGAAUUAGAUUGAGAGGUUUACCACCACAUCAUUGCAUGCAAAGGGAGCUCGCUUGAUUCGCAGAUUGGUCUAACUCGUAAUUCACUUCUGACCCUGU